rnacentral:misc_RNA from 1 species
CAACAGAGGCUGCAGCUGCGC